rnacentral:sRNA from 1 species
GCCAGAUGUGGUGGUGCAAACCUGUAAUCCCAACAACUCAGGAGGCUGAGGCAGGAGGAUCACAAGUACAAAGCCAACCUCAGCAAUUGAAUGAGGCCCUUAACAAUUCAAGGAGACCCUGCCUCUA